rnacentral:rRNA from 2 species
AUUGGUGCUUGCAUCAUGAUUUACAUUUGAGUGAGUGGCGAACUGGUGAGUAACACGUGGGAAACCUGCCCAGAAGCGGGGGAUAACACCUGGAAACAGAUGCUAAUACCGCAUAACAACUUGGACCGCAUGGUCCGAGUUUGAAAGAUGGCUUCGGCUAUCACUUUUGGAUGGUCCCGCGGCGUAUUAGCUAGAUGGUGGGGUAACGGCUCACCAUGGCAAUGAUACGUAGCCGACCUGAGAGGGUAAUCGGCCACAUUGGGACUGAGACACGGCCCAAACUCCUACGGGAGGCAGCAGUAGGGAAUCUUCCACAAUGGACGAAAGUCUGAUGGAGCAACGCCGCGUGAGUGAAGAAGGGUUUCGGCUCGUAAAACUCUGUUGUUAAAGAAGAACAUAUCUGAGAGUAACUGUUCAGGUAUUGACGGUAUUUAACCAGAAAGCCACGGCUAACUACGUGCCAGCAGCCGCGGUAAUACGUAGGUGGCAAGCGUUGUCCGGAUUUAUUGGGCGUAAAGCGAGCGCAGGCGGUUUUUUAAGUCUGAUGUGAAAGCCUUCGGCUCAACCGAAGAAGUGCAUCGGAAACUGGGAAACUUGAGUGCAGAAGAGGACAGUGGAACUCCAUGUGUAGCGGUGAAAUGCGUAGAUAUAUGGAAGAACACCAGUGGCGAAGGCGGCUGUCUGGUCUGUAACUGACGCUGAGGCUCGAAAGUAUGGGUAGCAAACAGGAUUAGAUACCCUGGUAGUCCAUACCGUAAACGAUGAAUGCUAAGUGUUGGGAGGGUUUCCCCCCCUUCAGUGCUGCAGCUAACGCCAUUAAGCAUUCCCGCCUGGGGGAGUACCGGCCGCGAGGGCUGAAAACUCAAAAGGAAUUUGACGGGGGGCCCCCCACAAAGCGGG